AUUGAACGCUGGCGGCAGGCCUAACACAUGCAAGUCGAGCGGAUGAAGGGAGCUUGCUCCUGGAUUCAGCGGCGGACGGGUGAGUAAUGCCUAGGAAUCUGCCUGGUAGUGGGGGAUAACGUCCGGAAACGGGCGCUAAUACCGCAUACGUCCUGAGGGAGAAAGUGGGGGAUCUUCGGACCUCACGCUAUCAGAUGAGCCUAGGUCGGAUUAGCUAGUUGGUGGGGUAAAGGCCUACCAAGGCGACGAUCCGUAACUGGUCUGAGAGGAUGAUCAGUCACACUGGAACUGAGACACGGUCCAGACUCCUACGGGAGGCAGCAGUGGGGAAUAUUGGACAAUGGGCGAAAGCCUGAUCCAGCCAUGCCGCGUGUGUGAAGAAGGUCUUCGGAUUGUAAAGCACUUUAAGUUGGGAGGAAGGGCAGUAAGUUAAUACCUGGCUGUUUUGACGUUACCAACAGAAUAAGCACCGGCUGACUUCGUG
rnacentral:rRNA from 1 species